CCUACGGGUGGCAGCAGUGAGGAAUAUUGGUCAAUGGGCGGGAGCCUGAACCAGCCAAGCCGCGUGAGGGAAGAAGGUACAGCGUAUCGUAAACCUCUUUUGUCAGGGAACAAAGGCGGGGACUAGUCCCCGGAUGAGGGUACCUGAAGAAAAAGCAUCGGCUAACUCCGUGCCAGCAGCCGCGGUAGUACGGAGGAUGCGAGCGUUAUCCGGAUUUAUGGGGUUAAAGGGGUGCGCAGGCGGCCUGUUAAGUCAGCGGUAAAAGCCCGGGGUCAAACCCCGGCGAGCCGUUGAAACUGGCGGGCUGGAGUAGGAGAGAGGUACGCGGAAUGCGCGGUGUAGCGGUGAAAUGCUUAGAUAUCGCGCAGAACCCCGAUUGCGAAGGCAGCGUACCGGCUCCACACUGACGCUGAGGCACGAAAGCGUGGGUAGCGAACAGGAUUAGAUACCCUUGUAGUC
rnacentral:rRNA from 1 species